UGGGAUUUAGCUCAGUGGCACAGUGCCUGCCUCAUAAGCAUGAGGUCCUGAGUUCUAUCCCUGAUACCUAA
rnacentral:tRNA from 1 species